CCCUUAGAUGUUCUGGGCCGCACGCGCGCUACACUGAUGCAUUCAACGAGUCUAAAACCUGGUCUGAGAGGGCUGGGUAAUCUUUUGAAAGUGCAUCGUGAUUGGGAUAGAUGAUUGCAAUUCUUCAUCUUCAACGAGGAAUGCCUAGUAAACGCAAGUCAUCAGCUUGCAUUGAUUACGUCCCUGCCCUUUGUACACACCGCCCGUCGCUCCUACCGAUUGAACGAUCCGACGAAAACUGUGGAUUGAGAGUCUGAGUGGGUUCGCCUACCUCAACUUUCGAGAAGCGGUUUAAAUCUUAUCGUUUAGAGGAAGGAGAAGUCGUAACA
rnacentral:rRNA from 1 species